AUACGUAGGUGGCGAGCGUUAUCCGGAUUUACUGGGUGUAAAGGGCGCGUAGGCGGGAAUGCAAGUCAGGUGUGAAAUCUAGGGGCUCAACCCCUGAACUGCACUUGAAACUGCGUUUCUUGAGUGUCGGAGAGGUUAACGGAAUUCCUAGUGUAGCGGUGAAAUGCGUAGAUAUUAGGAGGAACCCCAGUGGCGAAGGGGGUCAACUGGAUGAUAACUGACGCUGAGGCGGGAAAGCGUGGGGAGAAAACAGGAUUAGAUCCCCUGGUAGUCCACGCCGUAAACGAUGAAUACUAGGUGUGGGGGGACUGACCCCCUCCGUGCCGCAGUUAACACAAUAAGUAUUCCACCUGGGGAGUACGGCCGCAAGGUUGAAACUCAAAUGAAUUGACGGGG
rnacentral:rRNA from 1 species